UCGAGGAUCUUCGGCAAUGGGCGCAAGCCUGACCGAGCGACGCCGCGUGUGCGAUGAAGGCCUUCGGGUUGUAAAGCACUGUCGAGGGGGAGAAAACCCGCAAGGGUUGAUCUAUCCCUGGAGGAAGCACGGGCUAAGUUCGUGCCAGCAGCCGCGGUAAGACGAACCGUGCGAACGUUGUUCGGAAUCACUGGGCUUAAAGGGCGCGUAGGCGGGCUGCCAAGUCUGGGGUGAAAUCCCACGGCUCAACCGUGGAACUGCCUCGGAUACUGGCGGCCUCGAGGGAGGUAGGGGCGUGCGGAACUGUGGGUGGAGCGGUGAAAUGCGUUGAUAUCCACAGGAACUCCGGUGGCGAAGGCGGCACGCUGGACCUUUUCUGACGCUGAGGCGCGAAAGCCAGGGGAGCAAACGG
rnacentral:rRNA from 1 species